AGGAUGAACGCUGGCGGCGUGCCUAACACAUGCAAGUCGAACGUCCUGUCUCGCAAGAGGCAGGGAGUGGCGGACGGGUGAGUACCACGUGGGUUAUCUACCGUGAGGUGAGGAAUACCGGCGAGAAAUCGCCGACAAAACCGCAUAGGCUCGAUGCAAGUCGAGCAAAGCUUUCUCGCAAGAGGGAGCGCCACACGAGGAGCCUGCGCCCGAUUAGCUGGCUGGUGGAGUAAUGGUUCACCAGGGCGACGAUCGGUAGCUGGUCUGAGAGGACGAUCAGCCACACUGGGAUUGAGAACGGCCCAGACUCCUACGGGGGGCAGCAGUGAGGAAUUUUCGUCAAUGGGGGCAACCCUGAACGAGCAACGCCGCGUGCAGGAAGAAGGUUUUCGGAUCGUAAACUGCUUUUCUCGGGGAAGAGAACGGACGGUACCCGAGGAAGAAGCCCCGGCUAACUACGUGCCAGCAGCCGCGGUAA
rnacentral:rRNA from 1 species